rnacentral:rRNA from 1 species
GAUGAACGCUGGCGGCGUGCUUAACACAUGCAAGUCGAACGAAGCACUUUAACCUGAUUCUUCGGAUGAAGGUUUUUGUGACUGAGUGGCGGACGGGUGAGUAACGCGUGGGUAACCUGCCUCAUACAGGGGGAUAACAGUUAGAAAUGACUGCUAAUACCGCAUAAGACCACAGAGCCGCAUGGCUCGGUGGGAAAAACUCCGGUGGUAUGAGAUGGACCUGCGUCUGAUUAGGUAGUUGGUGGGGUAACGGCCUACCAAGCCAACGAUCAGUAGCCGACCUGAGAGGGUGACCGGCCACAUUGGGACUGAGACACGGCCCAAACUCCUACGGGAGGCAGCAGUGGGGAAUAUUGCACAAUGGGGGAAACCCUGAUGCAGCGACGCCGCGUGAGCGAAGAAGUAUUUCGGUAUGUAAAGCUCUAUCAGCAGGGAAGAAAAUGACGGUACCUGACGAAGAAGCACCGGCUAAAUACGUG